AACCCCCUCAAGCACUGCUUGGUGUUGGGCGCCUUUGUCCCGCCUCGGGCGUGGACUCGCCUCAAAAACAUUGGCGGCCUGUGUAUUGGCUUCGAGCGCAGCAGACUCGCGCCUCGCAAACCUCUGGCACGGGCGUCCAUCAAGAUGCACCCCAAA
rnacentral:misc_RNA from 1 species